rnacentral:misc_RNA from 1 species
GUGGCAAGGAACAAGGGGCUGUCGCAGGCGAAUGGGGAGUUUGUCGCGUUCCUUGAUUCUGACGAUGUGUGGAGGCCGGAUCAUCUGCGGCGCUGCGCACAGGCCCUGCGGGAUAAUCCAGGUGCCGUGGCCGCGUACGGUGAGUAUGGCCUGAUCGAUGCGGAGGGCCGGCCCAUUCGCGAAAAUGUGCGGCGGUCUACGGCCGACGGCGAGCAAUUCCUUCGCGAUCUGUGCCUGAAACGCCUGAUUCUGCACCCGACGGAGGUUGUCGUUCGCCAGUCGGCCAUUGACGGCCUCUCAUUUGACCCCGGC